rnacentral:rRNA from 1 species
CCUACGGGAGGCAGCAGUGGGGAAUCUUGGGCAAUGGGGGCAACCCUGACCCAGCAACGCCGCGUGAGGGAAGAAGGUUUUCGGAUCGUAAACGUCUUCCUUGGAAGAGGAAGAGA